AGAGUUUGAUCCUGGCUCAGGAUGAACGCUAGCGGCAGGCCUAACACAUGCAAGUCGAGGGGUAACAUAGUCUUCGGACUGAUGACGACCGGCGCACGGGUGCGUAACGCGUAUGCAAUCUACCCUUAUCUGGAGAAUAGCCCGAAGAAAUUCGGAUUAAUGCUCCAUAGUAUUUAAAAGUGGCAUCACUUUAAAAUUAAAGCUUCGGCGGAUAAGGAUGAGCAUGCGUCCUAUUAGUUAGUUGGUGAGGUAACGGCUCACCAAGGCAGCGAUAGGUAGGGGGCCUGAGAGGGUGAUCCCCCACACUGGUACUGAGACACGGACCAGACUCCUACGGGAGGCAGCAGUGAGGAAUAUUGGUCAAUGGACGAAAGUCUGAACCAGCCAUGCCGCGUGCAGGACGACGGCCCUACGGGUUGUAAACUGCUUUUAUAUGGGAAUAAACCCUCGAACGUGUUCGAGGCUGAAGGUACCAUACGAAUAAGGAUCGGCUAACUCCGUGCCAGCAGCCGCGGUAAUACGGAGGAUCCAAGCGUUAUCCGGAUUCAUUGGGUUUAAAGGGUCCGCAGGCGGGAUACUAAGUCAGUGGUGAAAGCCUCCAGCUCAACUGGGGAAUUGCCAUUGAUACUGGUAUUCUUGAGUAUAGUUGAAGUGGGCGGAAUGAGUCAUGUAGCGGUGAAAUGCAUAGAUAUGACUCAGAACACCGAUUGCGAAGGCAGCUCACUAAACUAUUACUGACGCUCAGGACGAAAGCGUGGGGAGCAAACAGGAUUAGAUACCCUGGUAGUCCACGCUGUAAACUAUGAUCACUCCCUGUUGGCGAUAUACUGUCAGCGGCUUACCGAAAGCAUUAAGUGAUCCAC
rnacentral:rRNA from 1 species